ACCUCAUAGGUCGAGAACCAGAUCCAAGCUCCAUUCGACGGGGCUAGCUAGGGCUCGAGGAUUCGAUUGGGGAUCGGAGAUCAAAGUCACGUGGGAGUUGCGGUCAACAAUAAAUCACGUUUUGAUGGUGGCUUGAACGUGUCACGUGAUCUCUCCACUUUUUUUUUAUUUUUAUUGUCUCAUCAGAUUUUUCCGUUGAAGAUAAAACUAACAUAAUUUAUAUUCUGUCCGUUUCUUGAAUAUUU